GUGUCAGCCGCCGCGGUAAUACGUAGGGGGCGAGCGUUGUCCGGAUUCAUUGGGCGUAAAGAGCUCGUAGGCGGUCUGCUAAGUCGGCUGGUGAAAUCUCGGGACUCAACUCCGAGGCUGCCACCGAUACUGGCAUGACUUGAGGCAGGUAGGGGAGUGCGGAAUUCCUGGUGUAGCGGUGAAAUGCGCAGAUAUCAGGAGGAACACCGGUGGCGAAGGCGGCACUCUGGGCCUGGCCUGACGCUGAGGAGCGAAAGCUAGGGGAGCAAACAGGAUUAGAUACCCUGGUAGUCCUAGCCGUAAACGAUGGGUACUAGGUGUGGGGAGAUGCUGACUCUCUCCGUGCCGUAGCUAACGCAUUAAGUACCCCGCCUGGGGAGUACGGCCGCAAGGUUAAA
rnacentral:rRNA from 1 species